UCAUGUGUAAUUUAAUUUUGAAACAUUUUUUAUUUGUACAUUUUCAAAGAGACUCAUGUAAUUGGUGCAGUACCAUUCCCGCCCAUUAGAGGGCAGUUGACUUAAGUGUAUUGAGUGAACUGGCUGUGUUUAGUUCAGAUGAAGAAGCCAGCUGGACAUGCAUCCAUGAGGUCGGAGUGAUGUUCCAGAAAAAAUCAUUUAAUCUUGAUAUUUUUUAUGUUAAAAUGUGUUAAUUCUCUACUUAAUGAUGUUAUAAAUCAUUCAGGUUGGAAAUGCAUCCCAGAUCUGAUGAAAGAUUUGAUUUUUUCGGUUGAUUUUCCGUGUUUCUUUAUGAGAACUCUGAUUGGGUUUUAUGAGUGGAUUUUGAUUCUGCAUCGUGACCUACUUUUGAUUGGCGAGCCAGAGCCCUUUUUGAUCUACACACGUGGAGUGAACCCACGCCUCCUUGUGGAUUUACUGGAUAUAACAGCUAAGCUGUGAUCUCACACACUUUGUACACACUACCCGGGUAGAACAUAUUUACAAAAAGGCCUUUACACACAUUCACAUUGAGAACUAUAUUUACACACAUGGAUAUCUGAGGACCGUAUAUAUACA